rnacentral:rRNA from 1 species
AUUGAACGCUGGCGGCAUGCUUUACACAUGCAAGUCGAACGGUAACAGGUUAAGCUGACGAGUGGCGAACGGGUGAGUAAUGCAUCGGAACGUGCCCGGUCGUGGGGGAUAACGCAGCGAAAGCUGCGCUAAUACCGCAUACGAUCUAAGGAUGAAAGCGGGGGACCGUAAGGCCUCGCGCGAUCGGAGCGGCCGAUGUCAGAUUAGGUAGUUGGUGGGGUAAAGGCUCACCAAGCCAACGAUCUGUAGCUGGUCUGAGAGGACGACCAGCCAGACGGGGACUGAGACACGGCCCAGACUCCUACGGGAGGCAGCAGUGGGGAAUUUUGGACAAUGGGCGAAAGCCUGAUCCAGCAAUGCCGCGUGCAGGAAGAAGGCCUUCGGGUUGUAAACUGCUUUUGUACGGAGCGAAAAGGUCUCCUCUAAUACAGGGGGCUCAUGACGGUACCGUAAGAAUAAGCACCGGCUAACUACGUGCCAGCCGCCGCCGUAA